rnacentral:rRNA from 1 species
GGCCCCUUCGGGGGUACUCGAGCGGCGAACGGGUGAGUAACACGUGAGCAACCUGCCCCUGACUCUGGGAUAAGCCCGGGAAACUGGGUCUAAUACCGGAUAUAACCACUGGUCUCAUGAUCGGGUGGUGGAAAGUUUUUCGGUUGGGGAUGGGCUCGCGGCCUAUCAGCUUGUUGGUGGGGUGAUGGCCUACCAAGGCGACGACGGGUAACCGGCCUGAGAGGGCGACCGGUCACACUGGGACUGAGACACGGCCCAGACUCCUACGGGAGGCAGCAGUGGGGAAUAUUGCGCAAUGGGCGGAAGCCUGACGCAGCGACGCCGCGUGAGGGAUGACGGCCUUCGGGUUGUAAACCUCUUUCAGCAGGGACGAAGCUAACGUGACGGUACCUGCAGAAGAAGCGCCGGCUAACUACGUGCCAGCAGCCGCGGUAAUACGUAGGGCGCAAGCGUUGUCCGGAAUUAUUGGGCGUAAAGAGCUCGUAGGCGGUUUGUCGCGUCUGUCGUGAAAGCCCACGGCUUAACCGUGGGUCUGCGGUGGAUACGGGCAGACUAGAGGCAGGUAGGGGAGAAUGGAAUUCCCGGUGUAGCGGUGAAAUGCGCAGAUAUCGGGAGGAACACCGGUGGCGAAGGCGGUUCUCUGGGCCUGUACUGACGCUGAGGAGCGAAAGCGUGGGGGAGCGAACAGGAUUAGAUACCCUGGUAGUCCACGCCGUAAACGUUGGGCGCUAGGGUGUGGGGUCCUUCCACGGAUUCCGCGCCGCAGCUAACGCAUUAAGCGCCCCGCCUGGGGAGUACGGCCGCAAGGCUAAAACUCAAAGGAAU